rnacentral:rRNA from 1 species
CCUACGGGUGGCAGCAGUGAGGAAUAUUGGUCAAUGGCCGAGAGGCUGAACCAGCCAAGUCGCGUGAGGGAAGACGGCCCUACGGGUUGUAAACCUCUUUUGUCGGGGAGCAAAGCGAGUCACGUGUGACUCAUGGAGAGUACCCGAAGAAAAAGCAUCGGCUAACUCCGUGCCAGCAGCCGCGGUAAUACGGAGGAUGCGAGCGUUAUCCGGAUUUAUUGGGUUUAAAGGGUGCGUAGGCGGUGGUUCAAGUCAGCGGUAAAAUUGCGGGGCUCAACCCCGUCCUGCCGUUGAAACUGCAUGCCUUGAGUGCGCGAGAAGUAUGCGGAAUGCGUGGUGUAGCGGUGAAAUGCAUAGAUAUCGCGCAGAACUCCGAUUGCGAAGGCAGCAUACCGGCGCGCAACUGACGCUCAUGCACGAAAGCGUGGGUAUCGAACAGGAUUAGAUACCCGAGUAGUC